GAUGAUUUAGUCUCAGAUGGAGACGCAGUACUGUUCCAGUUUUCUUUAGCCUUUUAUUUAUUUAGUUAUUCUGGGUCUUUCCUUUGUAAUUUUGAAGUGUGUAGAGUAUAUUAUAGUAACUAACGCUGCAGCUCUAAGAAGCUGAGUGAAAGAAAAAAUACUGUAAGACAUCCUUUCUAAGUUUGUAUCUGUUUGGAUACUGUAUUGAGAUCAGGAAAAGGAGAAACGUCCCACAGCCACGUUAAAGAUACAGGUUCUUAUUCCCAAAUUAGUUGAGCUCCCAGAUUCCAGGUCAAAACUGUUGCUUCAUUAAAGCCCUUUUCCAAGGCUCAGUCCUACUGUUGUAAUUCUGGCAGUCUCUUCCCCACAAAUAUCAGAAGUGCUUAUGUUUAAUUCUGUCAGAUGAGCUUUCCACCAGGGCCAUCCCCAGGCCAUGCUGACUGCUUUCCCAUGGUAUCACUGUUACUCCGGUUCCCUCCACUAAAACCACUGGAGAAAAACAAGUGAGGGAGCACCAUGAACAGCCCGGAGCGGCCCAGCUGCUCUGCUGGCUCAGAAUCCAACAUGUCUGGCCCCGGUCGUUUUCUCGUUCAGUCAGAUGCUCCUCUGCCGAAGUCAGAGGAAAUUUUGUCUGUGGUCUUUGGCUCGUCGGAUGGAAAUGUUUGCACCUAGGUAGAAUCUCAAGCAAAUUCUAAAUCGAUGCAGAACCGGGAGUAAGCUGACAGCUGAAUGACAUGUUUUGUUUAUACGGUGUGGGGGAGGGAUGAGAUUUGUCACAUCGCUCUGUCCCAAGUCUGGCAUUUGGCACAAUCUGGAGCAGGGGCACCCUGCUGCCUGCUAAUCUGCUGUAGGAAUCGUGCGUGUCUGGAGACCAGCGGCUGGAGGCCGGAGGCCGGCGUCCGUAGAGCAGAGGGAAGCCCCGCCACCUCGCUGGGGGAAGGCAGGAGGUGGGGAGAGGCCUGGCGGUGUCCUCUGUGAAGGGAGAGCAGAGGGGUACGCAGUGCUGUGGAGGGGGGAUCCCCUUUGGUCGCACGCUCCACAGAGCCCUGACCGAAGGCCAGUCCUCAUGGCUACCUCGGCUUUAAGAGUUCAUUUCAAUAAGCGUGAUUCAGCUUAUAAAUCAUGUGAAGGGUCCCCUAUCUCCCUGC
rnacentral:lncRNA from 1 species